rnacentral:rRNA from 1 species
GACGAACGCUGGCGGCGUGCUUAACACAUGCAAGUCGAACGCGCCUGUCCUCUGGGUUUCUGGGGGGUGGGUGAGUGGCGAACGGGUGAGUAACACGUGAGUAACCUGCCCCCUUCUUCGGGAUAACGGUCUGAAAGGGCUGCUAAUACCGGGUAUUCACUGGUCUCCGCAUGGGGUCUGGUGGAAAGGUUUUUUUCUGGUGGGGGAUGGGCUCGCGGCCUAUCAGCUUGUUGGUGGGGUGAUGGCCCACCAAGGCUUUGACGGGUAGCCGGCCCGAGAGGGUGACCGGUCACAUUGGGACUGAGAUACGGCCCAGACUCCUACGGGAGGCAGCAGUGGGGAAUAUUGCACAAUGGGCGCAAGCCUGAUGCAGCGACGCCGCGUGAGGGAUGGAGGCCUUCGGGUUGUGAACCUCUUUCGCCCGUGGUCAAGCCGCGACGUGGGUCGUGGUGAGGGUAGUGGGUAAAGAAGCGCCGGCUAACUACGUG